rnacentral:snRNA from 1 species
GUGCUCGCUUCAGCAGCACAUAUACUAAAAUUGGAACAAUACAGAGAAGAUUAACAUGGCCCCUGUGCAAGGAUGACACACACACACACACAAAAAGAACUGCACUGA